rnacentral:rRNA from 1 species
GAUGAACGCUGGCGGCGUGCCUAAUACAUGCAAGUCGAGCGAACGGACGAGAGGCUUGCUUCUCUGAUGUUAGCGGCGGACGGGUGAGUAACACGUGGAUAACCUACCUAUAAGACUGGGAUAACUUCGGGAAACCGGAGCUAAUACCGGAUGAUAUUUUGAACCGCAUGGUUCAAAAGUGAAAGACGGUCUUGCUGUCACUUAUAGAUGGAUCCGCGCUGCAUUAGCUAGUUGGUAAGGUAACGGCUUACCAAGGCAACGAUGCAUAGCCGACCUGAGAGGGUGAUCGGCCACACCGGAACUGAGACACGGUCCAGACUCCUACGGGAGGCAGCAGUAGGGAAUCUUCCGCAAUGGGCGAAAGCCUGACGGAGCAACGCCGCGUGAGUGAUGAAGGUCUUCGGAUCGUAAAACUCUGUUAUUAGGGAAGAACAUAUGUGUAAGUAACUGUGCACAUCUUGACGGUACCUAAUCAGAAAGCCACGGCUAACUACGUG